rnacentral:rRNA from 1 species
CAAUAGCGUAUAUUAAAGUUGUUGCAGUUAAAAAGCUCGUAGUUGGAUUUCUGGUGGGAGCGAUCGGUCUGGCGCUUAGCGCGAGUACUUGCAUCGUCUCCGGCCAUCCUUGGGGAGAGUCUGUCUGGCAUUAAGUUGUCGGGCAGAGGAUCCUCAUCGUUUACUGUGAAAAAAUUAGAGUGUUCAAAACAGGCUUAUGCCGUUGAAUAUAUUAGCAUGGAAUAAUAAGAUAGGACUUUGGUACUAUUUUGUUGGUUUGCGCACCAAAGUAAUGAUUAAUAGGGACAGUUGGGGGUAUUCGUAUUCCGUUGUCAGAGGUGAAAUUCUUGGAUUUACGGAAGACGAACUACUGCGAAAGCAUUUACCAAGGAUGUUUUCAUUAA